GAGAGAGCGGCUAAAAAUAUCCGAAAAAGAACGUAACACAAACGAUCUGAUAAAAUAAGAACGCACGAUGAUGACGCCCGAUCCAGAACAACCGUUAAGUGCUCCACCCCAAAUGAUGCUGCAACAGGGUGAGCGAAAGAGAGGGCGAGCCCGAUACCGAAAGAGACAGAGGCAGAGCCGAACAGAAACGACAGUGAAAGUUCUACACUUUCGCUUUUUCACAGAACCCUGCUAUCAUACGAAAAGCAGCAAUCGUAGAGAUAGAAACCUUUGGAAAUACAAUACAUAGUACAUCAGCAAAUGUGCGGUUGAAUAAAACACCAUGAGGUCCAUUGGAAUAU
ensembl:ncRNA lncRNA:CR43250 long non-coding RNA:CR43250